rnacentral:rRNA from 1 species
UACGGAGGGAGCAAGCGUUGUUCGGAAUUACUGGGCGUAAAGCGCGCGUAGGCGGUUGGACAAGUCAGAUGUGAAAGGCCACAGCUCAACGGUGGAAGUGCAUUUGAAACUAUUCAGCUUGAGAUUCGGAGAGGGAAGUUGAAUUCCCGGUGUAGAGGUGGUCAUCGUAGAUAUCGUGGAGAACACCGGGGGCGAAGGCGGCUUCCUGGACCGAUGCUGACGCUAAGACGCGAAAGCGUGGGGAGCCAACAGG